ensembl:snRNA U1 U1 spliceosomal RNA
GUACUUACCUGGCAGGGGAGACACCAUGAUCGUGAGGGUAGUUUCCUUAGGGUGAGGUUUAUCCAUUGCACUCCUGAUGUGCUGACCCCUGAGAUUUCCCCAAAGGUGGGAAACUCAACUGCAUAAUCUAUGAUAAUGGGGACUGCCUUUGUGUUUUCCCUU